AGCUUGCUCAUUUGGCCAGGUGGUCUGCAUGCACAUCUGCUCAGAGGUGGACACGAGGCAGUCACUUCAUUGCUUGGAAGGGAGUGAAGAAAGAACUAAGACCUUUCUGAUGGUUAAGAUUGUAAACCUGUGGGUGCUCUUGGAAGCUGUGGAGAAAGAGAGGCUAUACAAAUGGAAAUGAAUCCCUCUCCCACCCCCAUAUGUAAUGCCUGGAAGACAAACUAGAGAGGAAGACAAUUUUAGGAGCUUAAAGGACAUUUGUUCAUCAUAUGCAUUUCCCAGGAUUUCAGAUAACACUAGAAAAUUUCCAGUCUCCUCCCAAGGGCAGGGAUGAAGGCCUGCAUGAAGAUAUACAUGGUUAGGGGUCCUAGGACAAAAGAUGUUCUGGUAAAGGAGAGAAAGACCUGUGUAGGAGGAGGCAUCCUCAUUGUUUUCAGCUUUUCUAAGAUUGGAAAGGUGUGUACCUCAGCAGUGGCUACUGUUUGAAGAUGUCUGUGAUCUUCAGGAUGGACUCAAUGGGUGGAAGUCAAAGAGGACAAUUGUUUUGUUUGUGUCUACCCAGUAGCACUGCAACACCUUUCCUGUAUUUUGUAAAUUUCUGCCACUUUUAGAUCUUGCCCCUGAAGGUAGAAGGCAAGUCUUGUGUUCCUAGAUCUCGCCUUCCCAGUCCAUCUUACAGCUGGUGCCCAGUUACCCAGGCUCUGUGUGACAGGUUUCUUCUGUUUGUCCCCCCAGAUCCACUUUCUACCCUUCUCUACCUGCCUUGCCCCCCAGGAGGCUGACCUGCGUGGACCAUAUGACCAAGAUUUCCCUGCCUCUGGCUUCUGGUUGGGUUUAGCCAAUGGGAGGCAUGAAGAUAUUGGAGAGAGGAAGUAGUAGAGAGCAGGGGAGCACCGAUUCCCCCAGCUCCAUCGAUGCCAGGGAAGUAUUCUAACUGUUCCAGGAAUAGACAGUGGCAAUGUCAGAGAGUCGUGGACAUAACUGAUGACCUUGCCAACUUGGUGGGCAAUACAGAUGAGAAACUUCAUCCUGAAAGCAGGUCUGUGAAUAUUGUGGACAGCAAGUCAACGUCUUGUGGGAUGACAAUGGUGAUUUUAUUGCUCUUUGUGGCUGUUGUGAUCAUUGCAGUCUGGCCUACCGACUAGGGGUGAUUAAAGGACCACCAGCCAUGAAACUGCCAGUGAAGGAAAAAAAGCUCAGCACCCUUUUGAUACAUGAAAGCUGCUCUCAAUAAAUUCCCUCAAAGCUCUGAAAUGAAACAAAAGGAGACAAAACAAAAAACUGUUUACUAUCUCUACUGGCUAUUCCAGGAAUAGCUCCUUCCCCUUGGCCCUUCAGAUGUAGGUGCAGUAAUAGUUUCCCCCUUGGGAUAGUCCUUGGGUGCAUCACUAUCCCUUCCCACAUCAAGAUAAAUUGUCCUCCUAAUAAAAACUCCGAAAUUAUCCUUUCGAUUAUGCCAUCUCUUUCCUGCCUAGACCCCCCACUGAUUCCGUUCUGCCCAUCAAACCUGAUUUUGCCAAACUUUGACCCAAAGCUGGUGACAGGAGAGUGUCAGGAUGGAGAGACAGAUGACUUUUUGAGUCAGCUUGGCUGAGCCAUGGUACCCAGAUAAUUGGUCACACAUUAUUCUGGAGUUUCUGUGAGGUUUUAUUUUGUUUUUGGUAUUUUUUGGAUGAGAUUAACAUUUAAAUUAGCAGGCUUUGAAUCAAGCAGAUUUUUCUCUCCAGUAUGGGCCUCAUCCAAUCAGUUAAAGGCCUGAAUAGAAUGAGAGACUAACCUCCCCAAAGUGAGAGGGAAUUCUGCUAGCAGUCUGCCUUUGGACUUGCAUUGCAACUCUUCCCUUAAAGCUUACCCCAUCCGAUAUUGGACUUAUCAAGACUCAUCGCUUCUCGGCCUUUUGGCUAAGAUCAAGUG